rnacentral:lncRNA from 1 species
AUUGCCCCUCACCCCGCUCCUCGAGACCCCAGCCGCGGCCGGGCCCGGCGCGCGGAGCACCCGGCGGCGGCGCGGAGCAGGGGGCGCCGAGGAGGUGGCAGAGACUGGCUCGGAAACUUGGGGGAGAGGCGGCGAGUUGCGGGAGCCGCCGCGUCGAUCUCGGGCCGCGGCGAGGAACGCGUGGAUUCCGGGACCCGGCGCGGGCACUGAGCCCUCCCGCCCCUUGCUCGCGCCGCGGUGGGAGCGAGUCGGGGUCCUGGAAGUCAUCCCGGCGCCCCCAGCGCUCUUGCGUAAUCUUCCCCAGUACCUCUCUCUGUUCCCUCACACACUUUGGGCCUCGGUGGUCUCUCGCUGAGCCCGUUUCCUCUGCCCUAGGACCUGCUAGAAGUGGCCGAAGAUGAAUCCCCAGCAACAACGCAUGGCCGCUAUAGGGACCGACAAGGAGCUGAGCGACCUACUGGACUUCAGUGCGAUGUUUUCCCCACCUGUUAAUAGUGGGAAAACUAGACCAACUACACUGGGAAGCAGUCAAUUCAGUGGAUCAGGGUUUUACAGACAGCCCUCAUUACAGUGAUCACUUGAAUGACAGUCGAUUAGGAGCCCAUGAAGGCUUGUCCCCAACACCUUUCAUGAACUCAAAUCUGAUGGGAAAAACAUCAGAGAGAGGCUCAUUUU